rnacentral:rRNA from 1 species
UACGGAGGGGGCUAGCGUUGUUCGGAAUUACUGGGCGUAAAGCGCACGUAGGCGGCUUUGUAAGUUAGAGGUGAAAGCCCGGGGCUCAACUCCGGAAUUGCCUUUAAGACUGCAUCGCUCGAAUUGUGGAGAGGUAAGUGGAAUUCCGAGUGUAGAGGUGAAAUUCGUAGAUAUUCGGAAGAACACCAGUGGCGAAGGCGACUUACUGGACAAAUAUUGACGCUGAGGUGCGAAAGCGUGGGGAGCAAACAGG